rnacentral:rRNA from 1 species
GACCAGACUCCUACGGGAGGCAGCAGUAGGGCCUUUUGCGCAAUGGGCGCCAGCCUGACGCCGCCACGCCGCGUGCUCGAGACGCCCUUCGGGGUGUAAAGCUCUUUCAGUGGGGCCGCCCCUUGACGGUCCCCCCAGAGGAAGCACCGGCUAACUCCGUGCCAGCAGCCGCGGUAAUACGGGGGGUGCCCGCGUUGGCCGGCAUCAUUGGGCGUAAAGAGUUCGGAGGCGGCACGUAAAGUCUGGUGUUAAAGGCAGAGGCUCAACGUCUGUACGGCACUGGAUACUUGCGAGCUAGAAUGCGGUAGAGGUAAAGGGAAUUCCUGGUGUAGCGGUGAAAUGCGGAGAGAUCAGGAGGACCAUCGGUGGCGGAAGCGCUUUACUGGGCCGUAAUUGACGCUGAGGAACGAAAGCCAGGGUAGCAAAGGGGAUUAGAUCCCCCAGUACC